rnacentral:rRNA from 1 species
CCUACGGGAGGGCAGUGAGGAAUAUUGGACAAUGGAGGCAACUCUGAUCCAGCCAUGCCGCGUGCAGGAAGACUGCCCUAUGGGUUGUAAACUGCUUUUAUACAGGAAGAAACCUACUUACGUGUAAGUAGCUGACGGUACUGUAAGAAUAAGGAUCGGCUAACUCCGUGCCAGCAGCCGCGGUAAUA